rnacentral:rRNA from 1 species
UACAGAGGGGGCAAGCGUUGUUCAGAAUUACUGGGCGUAAAGGGCGCGUAGGCGGCCAUUCAAGUCAGGGGUGAAAGCCUGUGGCUCAACCACAGAAUUGCCUUUGAUACUGUUUGGCUAGAGACCGGAAGAGGUAAGUGGAACUGCGAGUGUAGAGGUGAAAUUCGUAGAUAUUCGCAAGAACACCAGUGGCGAAGGCGGCUUACUGGUCCGGUUCUGACGCUGAGGCGCGAAAGCGUGGGGAGCAAACAGG